UGAUGAGCGCUAGCGGCAAGCUGAACACAUGCAAGUCGAUGGGCACCGCGGGUAGCAAUACCUGGCGGCGACCGGCGAACGGGUGAUUAACGCGUGAGCAACGUGCCCGUAUGUGGGGGAUAUUCCAUGGAAACGUCGCGUAAUAUCCCGUAACACAUUUCCCCGCAUGAGGAGAUCUUGAAAGAUUCAUUGCAUACGGAUCGGCUCGCGUGGCAUAAGGUAAACUGCGGGGUAACGGCCCACCGUGCCAACAAUCGCUAUGGGCUCUGAUAUGAAUGUCCCCCACAUAGGAACUGAAACACGGUCCAGACUCCUACGGAGAUGCACCAUAUGACGAAUAUUGUGACAUGGCCGGAAUGCUGAUCCAGACAUGCCGCGUGCGGGAGGACGGCCCUAUGGGUAGUAAACCGCUCAUGCGAGGGAGCAAUAACGUCCACGUGUGGGCCGAUGAGAGUACCUGAUGAAUAAGCAUAGGCUAAGUCCGUGCCAACAGCCGCGGUAAUAAGGAGGAUGCAAGCGUUAUCCGGAUUUAUUGGAUUUAAAGGGUGCGUAGACGCUGGAUUAAGCGGGAGGUGAGAUGCAGGAGCUAAACGUUCGGAAGUACCUCCCGAACUGAUGGACUGGAAUGAUUAUGUCAUGGGAGGUAAGUGUAGUGUAGCGCUAUCAUGCUUAGAGAGUACACAAGAACACAGAUUGGGUAGGCAUGUAUCGAAGGUAUAAUCGACAUUGAGCCAAGAAAGUGUGGGGCUCUAACUCGAUUACAAAGCCUGAUAUUCCCC
rnacentral:rRNA from 1 species